rnacentral:lncRNA from 1 species
GAGUCAAACUAUAACUUGUUUCGAUUGUGAUCGUAGUUGGUGGUAAACGGUAAAUCUCCUAGUCGACGAAGCUCAACAAAUCUGAGGGUGGCAUGUUCGACACGUGGUGUCUGCAUGCAUCAAAUACAAUGUUCUUUCUUUUUAACCUUUAAAUAUUAUUUUAUCGUGUAUCAAAUAUUCUUUUGGUCAAAUCUCCAAAAUAACAUAUUUCUAACUUUAUAUCACAAAAAUAACAUUCCAAAACUAAAAUGAUCAAAAUAGCACAUUUCUAAGUUUAUCUUUUGAAAAUUUUAAUUUUUUUAUUUUUCAAAAUUUGAAAUCUUAUCCCCAAAACCUCAUUUCUCAACUCUAAACCCUAAACUCUAAACCCUAAACCCUAAACUUUAAACUCUAAACCCUAAACUCUAAACCUUAAAUUCUAAACCCUAAACCCUAACCCCUAAAUCCUAAACCCCACCCUUUAACUCUAAACCCUAAGUUUGUGACUUUUGAUAAAACAUUAAAUGUUAUUUUUGUGACUUUUGACUUUGAAUGCUAGUUUGGGAACAAAAACUUGAUUUAGUGCUAUUUUUGUUUUUUUCUCUAUUCUUUUGGUUAAAUUAUAUAUACGAAAACUUGGAGAAGAAGCAUUCAUUUAUCGGUCGCACACUUCUUCGUAAAGAUAGAGGACAAUGGAAAAAAGAAAAAAGAAAAAAGGUAAAAAGACGGCCUCUUCGCAAAUAAAGGCACCACGUAUUAGGCACUUAAGAAAGAGUGAAACGUAUAUAUUAAGCUGAAUAACAUACCAAAUAAAGACAGUACAGUAACAAACCGAAUAUUAAGAACGGGACAAUAGUUACCAAAACAAACUAUGUAAAUUAUAACAAGUAGCUACUAUCUAUGCACAACCCUUGUUUCAUAAGGUAUUAACCUAGAGCGGACAA